CGUUGACCUCGAAUCAGGUAGGACUACCCGCUGAACUUAAGCAUAUCAAUAAGCGGAGG
rnacentral:rRNA from 1 species